rnacentral:rRNA from 1 species
AGAGUUUGAUCCUGGCUCAGAACGAACGCUGGCGGCGUGCCUAACACAUGCAAGUCGAACGGAGAUAAGGGGCAUGCUCCUUAUUUUAGUGGCGCACGGGUGAGUAACGCGUGGAUAAUCUACCUUGGAAUCUGGGAUAACAUUUCGAAAGGGGUGCUAAUACCGGAUAAGACCACGAGCUCUUUGGAGUUUGCGGUAAAAGGGGGCCUCUGUAUAUGCUUCUGUUUCAAGAUGAGUCCGCGUACCAUUAGCUAGUUGGCAGGGUAAUGGCCUACCAAGGCGACGAUGGUUAGCUGGUCUGAGAGGAUGAUCAGCCACACUGGAACUGAGACACGGUCCAGACUCCUACGGGAGGCAGCAGUGGGGAAUUUUGCGCAAUGGGGGAAACCCUGACGCAGCAACGCCGCGUGAGUGAUGAAGGCCUUCGGGU